UACGUAGGGUGCGAGCGUUGCCCCGGAUUUAUUGGGCGUAAAGGGCGCGUAGGCGGCCACGCACGUCCGUUGUGAAAUCGCCCGGCUCAACUGGGCGGGGUCAGCGGAUACGGUGUGGCUCGAGCAAGCUAGGGGGCAAUGGAAUUCCCGGUGUAGUGGUGGAAUGCGUAGAGAGUCCCGGAAGAACACCGGGUGGCGAAGGCGGCCUUCUGGACAGUUCCUGACACUGAGGCACGGAAGGCCAGGGGAGCAAACGGG
rnacentral:rRNA from 1 species